GGUAGGUGCCAGCGUGGCGUAGUGGUUUGACUAUGACUCUGGAGACCAGGGUUCAAUCCCCUGCUUCACCA